AUCAUUUAGCGGAGGAAAAGAAACUAACAAGGAUUCCCUAAGUACGGCGAGUGAACGGGGAAAAGCCCAGCGCUGAAUCUUUCGGUAUUAUACCGUUAAGAAAUGUAGCGUAUAGGUAUGAUUUUCAGUUUGUGCUAUAUGUCCAAAGUCCCUUUGAUCGGGCCACUUUCCUGAGAGGGUGCGAGACCUGUACGGACAGUGGAGCAAGCUGUAUGAUUAUACUUUAGAGUCGGGUUGCUUGAAAAUGCAGCCUAAAGUGGGUGAUAAACUUCAUCUAAGGCUAAAUAUAGACGCGNNAUCGAUAGCAAACAA
rnacentral:rRNA from 1 species